rnacentral:pre_miRNA from 1 species
UAGCGCCUCUGUCUCCACCCACUUGGCCGCCGAGUGAGGGCCUCGGGGUGACCC